UUAACUCAAAUUUGUAUGGAGUUGGAACGCUUGCCUACGUUGUUGUUGUUUGCCGCUAGGGGCGCUGUUCCAACUCCAUACAAAAUUGCGUUA
rfam:Bombyx mori DNA, contig: Bm_scaf2_contig1730, strain: p50T/Dazao, build 2, whole genome shotgun sequence.